rnacentral:rRNA from 1 species
CACCUCUAGCAUUUCAAAUAUUAGAGGCAUUGCCUGCCCAGUGACCAAAGUUAAACGGCCGCGGUAUCCUGACCGUGCAAAGGUAGCAUAAUCACUUGUUCCUUAAUUAGGGACUCGUAUGAACGGCUAAACGAGGGUCCAACUGUCUCUUAUUUUUAAUCAGUGAAAUUGACCUUCCAGUGAAGAGGCUGGAAUAAUUUAAUAAGACGAGAAGACCCUAUGGAGCUUAAAUUAACAAACUUACUUGAGAUUUCACCACACCUAAUGGCGCAAAAAUAAUAUCCUAAAUUUAAAAUUUUGGUUGGGGUGACCUCGGAGAAUAAAAAAUCCUCCGAAAGAAUUAUAACUUAGACCAACAAGUCAAUGUAACCUUGAUUCCAAUUGACCCAAAACAUUUGACCAACGGACCAAGUUACCCUAGGGAUAACAGCGCAAUCCUAUUUAAGAGUCCAUAUCGACAAUAGGGUUUACGACCUCGAUGUUGGAUCAGGACAUCCCAAUGGUGCAGAAACUAUUAAUGGUUCGUUUGUUCAA